CAGGCCCUGUUGAGGAGCAAGUCCCACCUCCUAUUGCUCAGGAACAGGAAAUACAGCUGGUUGAUUGGUGCCCUAUACUGGAGGCGGGCAAUCUCCACUUUGAGGGAUUGAGGUACUUCCGAGGCAGUGUAAUGAGAUAUGUGACUGCAGCUGUGAAGGCUAGAGUUGGCCAGGGCCAGAGUUG